CCCCGCCAGAGCACUACGAGCCACAGCUUAAAACUCAAAGGACUUGGCGGUGCCCUACACCCACCUAGAGGAGCCUGUUCUAUAAUUGACAAUCCCCAAUAAACCUUGCCGCCCCUUGUAAACACAGCCUAUAUACCACCGUCACAAGCCCACCCCAUAAAGGACUUAUAGUAGGCUAAAUAAUUAAAAAUAAAAAUGUCAGGUCAAGGUGUAGCACAUGAGUCGGAAAGAAAUGGGCUACAUUUUCUUCAAAGAAAAAACGGAGUAUUUUAUGAAAUAAAAUAUGAAGGAGGAUUUAGCAGUAAAUAAAGAAUAGAGAGCUCUUUUAAAAUUGGCAAUAGGACGAGCACACACCGCCCGUCACCCUCUUUACACGCAUAUAAUAUAAAUAAAAAAAUAAAUAUUUCAGAAGAGGAAAGUCGUAACAUGGUAAGUCUACCGGAAGGUGGUCUUGGAA
rnacentral:rRNA from 1 species